rnacentral:rRNA from 1 species
GAUGAACGCUGGCGGCGUGCCUAAUACAUGCAAGUCGAGCGAAUGGAUUAAGAGCUUGCUCUUAUGAAGAUAGCGGCGAACGGGUGAGUAACACGUGGGUAACCUGCCCAUAAGACUGGGAUAACUCCGGGAAACCGGGGCUAAUACCGGAUAACAUUUUGAACCGCAUGGUUCGAAAUUGAAAGGCGGCUUCGGCUGUCACUUAUGGAUGGACCAGCGUCGCAUUAGCUAGUUGGUGAGGUAACGGCUCACCAAGGCAACGAUGCGUAGCCGACCUGAGAGGGUGAUCGGCCACACUGGACUGAGACACGGCCCAGACUCCUACGGGAGGCAGCAGUAGGGAAUCUUCCGCAAUGGACGAAAGUCUGACGGAGCAACGCCGCGUGAGUGAUGAAGGCUUUCGGGUCGUAAAACUCUGUUGUUAGGGAAGAACAAGUGCUAGUUGAAUAAGCUGGCACCUUGACGGUACCUAACCGGAAAGCCACGGCUAACUACGUGCCAGCAGCCGCCGUAA